rnacentral:misc_RNA from 2 species
AACGCACCUUGCGCUCCUUGGUAUUCCGAGGAGCAUGCCUGUUUGAGUGUCAUUAAAUUCUCAACCUUUCCAGUCUGUUAUGAACGGGUCAGGCUUGGAUGUGGGGGUUGCAGGCUUCUCAGAAGUCAGCUCCUCUUAAAUACAUUAGCAGUACCUUUGUGGACCAGCUUUGGUGUGAUAGUUGUCUACGCCAUGGUUGUGAAGCAGCUUUACAUGGGGUUCAGCUUCUAACAGUCCAUUGACUUGGACAAUUUUUGACAUUUUGACCUCAAAUCAGGUAGGACUACCCGCUGAACUUAA